CUAUCACACACACACACAUACACACACAUACUAGCCUACUACCUAGUACAGUCAAUAAAUUAGUACAAAGGAGUGUGUUCAGGCCUCAGUGGAGCAUAUCCAGGCGCACUAGCCUGUUUCCUGAGCUCAUGGCGUAUUACAUACAAGGUAAAAUGGGGAAUCUGUGGGCUAGCACAGGUCUGUAUGAUGAUACCAAAUAUUCAUUCAUCGAUCCGGAUUACCACAUAAACAUAGAGGAUUAUUUUCAACAUGUUAACGUCAUUGAACAGGAGGUGGAGGAGGAUAAGAAACGGGGCGGAGCAGGAGGGCAUGGCAAUGCAGAGCCGCAAAGGGAAGGUUGAGGACCUGACCAUCACCAUCAACAAGUCCCCAACUAAGCGUGUUGUAACCAAGAAGGGUUGGGAGAUGCAAUUCCUAAAGGGGUGAAGAACCAGGAGGACGUGUCCGACAUUUUUAGUGCUGGCCGUGGUAAAAGGAGGCAGCUUCUAGUCACUGCACCAGGAAACACUAAGGCAAGCUUGGCAUCGGGUCCAUAUAAUGUGUAUGAAUAGGAAUAUUGAUGACUUGAUCCCUGUUCUGGAUGUUGUUGGUUUGCCC
ensembl:lncRNA